UACGGGAGGCAGCAGUGGGGAAUAUUGCACAAUGGGCGAAAGCCUGAUGCAGCUAUGCCGCGUGUAUGAAGAAGGCCUUAGGGUUGUAAAGUACUUUCAUCGGGGAGGAAAAAACAAAACUAAUAAUUUUAUUUCUUGACGUUACCCGAAAAAGAAGCACCGGCUAACUCCGUGCCAGCAGCCGCGGUAAUACGGAGGGUGCUAGCGUUAAUCAGAAUUACUGGGCGUAAAGAGCACGUAGGUGGUUUUUUUAAGUCAGAUGUGAAAUCCCUGGGCUUAACCUAGGAACUGCAUUUUGAAACUGAAAUACUAGAGUAUCGUAGAGGGAGGUAGAAUUCUAGGUGUAGCGGUGAAAUGCGUAGAUAUCUGGAGGAAUACCUGUGGCGAAAGCGGCCUCCUAAACGAAUACUGACACUGAGGGUGCGAAAGCGUGGGGAGCGAAACAGGGAUUAGAUACCCGU
rnacentral:rRNA from 1 species